AUUUAAAUAGCUUAUUAUUUUAAAGUGCAGUAUUGAAGAUACUGAGAAAAUAUGUUAUAUUUUUAAAUA
rnacentral:tRNA from 1 species